rnacentral:lncRNA from 13 species
ACUGACUCAUUACACCUUCAGCUUUAAGGUACAAGGUGAUCUCGAGAAAGUGGUGUUCCAAUUCUACGAAAUCAUUUUGUAUUUUUUCAUGUUAAGAACCCUCUAAAUCCAUCUGAGAACAUCACAGUGAGAUGAGACUACAUUUACUGCAACCGCUAGUCUCCAGUUUCAUGUGCCAUAUUGUAAACUGAACUGCAAGGUUCACAGCCAGGGGAGUUCGAUCAUUUGGGUCGAUAGACCAGAAAAUGUGACGUGUCACUCCCUAUGCAAAUGAGGUGUCAGAUUUCACAGACUGCAUCUCAGAUUAGAGGGGAGAAUGGCAUGCAAAGUACAACCAGAGCUGUCACGGACUGCGCAGCAAUUUACGUUGCGCCGCUCAAGGAGUGCUCUGUACACAAACAAAUUGGUCGGAACCGGUCCAGAACCGCUUAAAAUCCCCUAAAUAGAGGACUUGAAUGUUUUUAAGAAUUGAUGGUUGUUCUCAUUCUGGCUCGAUUAAGAUAAUGUUCUCAUCAGCUCAGGUGCUACAGAGACCGAAUGGUAUUCCAGAACCAUCUGACCGACUACCUGCGAUCACUCCAGAGCACAGAGAUGUAAGCUACACUCAAAAUAGUAUACUUGAUGGUCUAUGUAAGCCUCCUUCUCUAUGGCAGUCUGACUGUGUGACAACAUUGUAUAUUAACAAGGGUCACUGGUUGGAUUGGAUUUAUUGUAUUCGCUCCAAAACCGAUGCUCUCUCCUCGCUGUAAAAGUCUCCCAGACUUUUAUCAAAACGAACAUGUCCAUCACUCUAUCCCCAGGUGAGUCUGCUAGGCUACAGAACUUUAGAGCAGCACAUCAAAAAAUCUGCCAUCCUGUCGUCAGCUGUCUGCAGACAGUUCCCUGAAGUAGGAUGCAACUAUCAAGGCUUUCAAAGGCUACAUUUUGGGAAUUACCAAAUGCAAUACAAUGUUGUAUAAACAACUUUUUUUUUUAAUUAUUAGAUUACAAAACAAUAACUUUUUCAUGGCAUGUAUGUCACAUUGUUCUUCACAAUAACUUUUACUAACUUCUGUGGUAACUUAAACACAUCCCUUAGAGCUCAUGACUAAAAAGGACUACAAAUGUGUAUUAUGUCCAGGGUGAAUAUUUGUAUAUUCAUGUAAACCAGACACAUCACAGAGGUGUCAACUAAAACAUAUACAGUUGAAGUCGGAAGUUUACAUACACUUAGGUUGGAGUCAUUAAAACUUGUUUUUGAACCACUUCACAAUUUCUUGUUUACAAACUAUAGUUUUGACUAGUCGGUUAGGACAUCUACUUUGUGCAUGACACAGUAAUUUCUCCAACAAUUGUUUACAUUCAGAUUAUGUCACUAAUAAUUCACUGUAUCACAAUUCCAGUGGGUCAGACGUUUACAUACACUAAGUUGACUGUGCCUUUAAACAGCUGGGAAAAUUCCAGGCUUUAGAAGCUUCUGAUAGGCUAAUUGACAUAAUUUGAGUCAAUUAGAGGUGUACCUGUGGAUGUAUUUCAAGGCCUACCUUCAAACUCAGUGCCUCUUUGCUUGAAUCAUAGGAAAAUCAAAAGAAAUCAGACAAGACCUCAGACAAAAUAUUGUAGACCUCCACAAGUCUGGUUCACCCUUGGGAGCAAUUUCCAAAUGCCUGAAGGUACCACCUUCAUCUCUACAAACAAUAGUACGCAAGUGCAAACACCAUGGGACCACGCAGCCUUCAUAUCGCUCAGGAAGGAGACGCGUUCUGUCUCCUAGAGAUGAACAUACUUUUGUGCAAAAGUGCAAAUCAAUCCCAGAACAA